AGUGAACGCUGGCGGUAGGCCUAACACAUGCAAGUCGAACGGCAGCACAGUAAGAGCUUGCUCUUACGGGUGGCGAGUGGCGGACGGGUGAGGAAUACAUCGGAAUCUACUUUUUCGUGGGGGUUACGGAAGGAAAACUUAGGUUAUAACCCCAUAGACCUACCGGUGAAAACAAGGGAACCUCCGGACUUGCGCCGAUGGAUGAGGCGGAGUCGGAUUAGCUAGUUGGCGGGGUAAAGGCCCACCAAGGCGACGAACCGUAGCUGGUCUGAGAGGAUGAUCAGCCACACUGGAACUGAGACACGGUCCAGACUCCUACGGGAGGCAGCAGUGGGGAAUAUUGGACAAUGGGCGCAAGCCUGCUCCAGCCAUACCGCGUGGGUGAAGAAGGCCUUCGGGUUGUAAAGCCCUUUUGUUGGGAAAGAAAAGCAGCAGGUUAAUACCCCGCUGUUCUGACGGUACCCAAAGAAUAAGCACCGGCUAACUUCGUG
rnacentral:rRNA from 1 species